AUUGAACGCUGGCGGCAUGCCUUACACAUGCAAGUCGAACGGCAGCACGGGAGCAAUCCUGGUGGCGAGUGACGAACGGGUGAGUAAAGUAUCGGAACGUGCCCAGUCGUGGGGGAUAACGUAGCGAAAGUUACGCUAAUACCGCAUACGAUCUAUGGAUGAAAGCGGGGGAUGGCAAGACCUAGCGCGAUUGGAGCGGCCGAUAUCAGAUUAGGUAGUUGGUGGGGUAAAGGCUCACCAAGCCGACGAUCGGUAGCUGGUCUGAGAGGACGACCAGCCACACUGGGACUGAGACACGGCCCAGACUCCUACGGGAGGCAGCAGUGGGGAAUUUUGGACAAUGGGCGAAAGCCUGAUCCAGCCAUGCCGCGUGCAGGAUGAAGGCCUUCGGGUUGUAAACUGCUUUUGUACGGAACGAAAAGGUUUGGGCUAAUAAGCUGAGCUCAUGACGGUACCGUAAGAAUAAGCACCGGCUAACUACGUGCCAGCAGCCGCAGUAA
rnacentral:rRNA from 1 species